rnacentral:rRNA from 1 species
UGCACAGCCCAAGACUGGUUGCCCACUGAAGCUAAGCAGUAUUGAACCUGAUUAGUACCUGGAUGGGAGAACUCCUGGGAAAACUAGGUUGCUGCUGGAA